rnacentral:rRNA from 1 species
GACGAACGCUGGCGGCGUGCUUAACACAUGCAAGUCGAACGGGAUCCGGGCUUUCGGGUUUGGUGAGAGUGGCGAACGGGUGAGUAACACGUGAGUAACCUGCCCCCUUCUUUGGGAUAACGUCGGGAAAUCGGCGCUAAUACUGGAUAUUCUUGCUGCAUCGCAUGGUGUGGUUUGGAAAGGGUUUCUGGUGGGGGAUGGGCUCGCGGCCUAUCAGCUUGUUGGUGGGGUGAUGGCCUACCAAGGCUUUGACGGGUAGCCGGCCUGAGAGGGUGUCCGGCCACACUGGGACUGAGACACGGCCCAGACUCCUACGGGAGGCAGCAGUGGGGAAUAUUGGACAGUGGGCGCAAGCCUGAUGCAGCGACGCCGCGUGAGGGAUGACGGCCUUCGGGUUGUAAACCUCUUUCAGUAUGGAACAAGGAUCCUUCUUUUGGGGGGUUUGAGGGUACGUGCAGAAGAAGCGCCGGCUAACUACGUG